GUAGGGAAUAUUGGACAAUGGGCGAAAGCCUGAUCCAGCCAUGCCGCGUGAUAGAUGAAGGCCCUCUGGGUUGUAAAUAUCUUUUAUCUGGGAAGAAACUCCUCUAUUCUUAGAGGCCUGACGGUACCAGAGGAAUAAGCACCGGCUAACUCCGUGCCAGUAGCCGCGGUAAUACGGAGGGUGCAAGCGUUAUCCGGAUUCACUGGGUUUAAAGGGUGCGUAGGCGGGUUGAUAAGUCAGUGGUGAAAGCUCCGGGCUUAACUUGGAAACUGCCAUUGAUACUGUCAGUCUUGAAUGUCGUAGAGGUAAGCGGAAUGUUGCAUGUAGCGGUGAAAUGCUUAGAUAUGUUACAGAACACCAAUUGCGAAGGCAGCUUACUAUGCGAUAAUUGACGCUGAGGCACGAAAGCGUGGGGAGCAAACAGGAUUAGAUACCCUUGUAGUCC
rnacentral:rRNA from 1 species